rnacentral:rRNA from 1 species
UACGUAGGUGGCAAGCGUUGUCCGGAUUUACUGGGCGUAAAGAGCGCGCAGGCGGUCGUUCAAGUCGCGUGUGAAAGCCCCCGGCUCAACUGGGGAGGGUCACGCGAUACUGAUCGACUCGAAGGCAGGAGAGGGAAGUGGAAUUCCCGGUGUAGUGGUGAAAUGCGUAGAUAUCGGGAGAAACACCAGUGGCGAAGGCGACUUCCUGGCCUGUUCUUGACGCUGAGGCGCGAAAGCGUGGGUAGCAAACAGG